CUCUCUCUCUUCCUCCUGCUCUGGCAUGUAAGACGUGCCCGUGUCCCCUUCCUCCACCACAAGAUUGUAAGUUUUCUGGAGCCUCCCCAGAAGCUGAGAAGAAGCUGCUAUGCUUCCUGUUCAGCCUGCAGAACCGCCACUUCCAGCAUCGAUGGUGUCAGGUCAGGUCCUCUGGGUAGAAGAAAUGGAGUCAGUUAGGAGUGCUGGAGACUGAGUAAGAGGUGGCAGCUGAGGCUUACUACCCCAGGAAAGGGAUGCCACCAGAGAAGGCAGACAACCAAGAUGGCGACUCUCAAUUUUUGAGCUCCUAAUUUUCUCAUGUCAGACAUAAGAAAAAAAAAUAUUUUUUAAAGAAAAAGCUUUAGGUUGCAAAAAUCUAGGCCUUUCAACUUUAAAAUCCUAUUCUUGCAAGCCUUGGAGAAUAAAGCUUAUGCAUAAACAGUAGAUUUGGAAACAGAAAUAUGCCUAAUUACCCAGAGCCAUUCUUUCAAUACGCCAGUGAUUGUUUAAAGAUUCUAUAGGCUGGAGUCAAUGGCAGGAGGCGGGUGGGAAAAGAGUCAAGAGGGAGGAGAGAAGAAGCAAGAGGGUUGGGUAGAUAUUGUCACAUGACCCUGAGAGGAGGAUUCUGGGUCAAACCCCUAGGGGGUUGUGUGUAAUGGAGACUCCAGAUCCAUUUGGGAAUCUGGCUCCAAAGAAGACUUCACCUUGCCUUCUGAGUGGAGCCCUGAAGUGGCAAGACUCAUAGAAUUCCCCCACGGGUCCACACAAGAGAGAAUGAAUAGAGAAGGCUGCGUGCUGGCUGGACCAAGGCAGCCUCGGGUGACACCACCACCACCACCGCCGCUGCCGCCAUCGCCAUCACCACUGCCGCUGCCAUCACCGCCACCACCACCACCAUCACCACCACCAUCACCACAUUAUGGACAAUAGCCCAAUGUUUCCUGAGUUCCCUAGAGGGUUGAAAGAGAAUAGGACCUAGAGAGAUCACAUAGUUGGGACAGGCACUCAUUAAUUUGAUCCAAUGACAAGAGACCAGAUGGGAAGAAGGAUGCCUUGAGAGAUGUCAGUGUGCACCCAUGGAUAGAAGCAGCUGGUGACUGGGUACUUGGGAAGCCACAUGGACACACACAAAGCUCCUGGAAGACGUUUUCAAGGAGUUGGGCUGUGCUGGGAUCCAGAACUGGCUGAAGAAACCAUGAGCUGACAUAAAAUUUCUGCCACCUAGCAGAAUGGAGG
rnacentral:lncRNA from 1 species